AUGCUCACUUUGGCAACACAUAUACUCAAACUGGAACGAUACAGGUAAGAUUAGCAUGGCCCCUGAGCAAGGAUGACAUGCAAAUUCAUAAAGUGUCCCAUAUUUUG